UGAGGAAUAUUGGUCAAUGGGCGAGAGCCUGAACCAGCCAAGUAGCGUGCAGGACGACGGCCCUAUGGGUUGUAAACUGCUUUUAUGUGGGGAUAAAGUGCGUGACGUGUCAUGCAUUGCAGGUACCACAUGAAUAAGGACCGGCUAAUUCCGUGCCAGCAGCCGCGGUAAUACGGAAGGUCCAGGCGUUAUCCGGAUUUAUUGGGUUUAAAGGGAGCGUAGGCUGUUUGUUAAGCGUGUUGUGAAAUGUAAGAGCUCAACUUUUAGAUUGCAGCGCGAACUGGCAGACGUGAGUGCGCACAACGUAGGCGGAAUUCAUGGUGUAGCGGUGAAAUGCUUAGAUAUCAUGACGAACUCCGAUUGCGAAGGCAGCUUACGGGAGCGCAACUGACGCUAAAGCUCGAAGGUGCGGGUAUCGAACAGG
rnacentral:rRNA from 1 species